UACGUAGGUGGCGAGCGUUGUCCGGAUUUACUGGGCGUAAAGAGCGCGCAGGCGGCUGGUCAAGUCCGAUGUGAAAGCUCCCGGCUUAACUGGGAAAUUGCAUCGGAAACUGAUCGGCUGGAAGGUGGGAGAGGGUAGCGGAAUUCCCGGUGUAGUGGUGAAAUGCGUAGAUAUCGUAAGGAAGACCAGUGGCGAAGGCGAAUCUCUGGACAGUUACUGACACUGAGGCACGAAGGCCAGGGGAGCAAACAGG
rnacentral:rRNA from 1 species